GAAUCAGAUUUUUCAUCUAAAGGAUAGAUAGAAUUUGAAUCAGAUGGAACAUUUUCAUUUGAAUGCAUUUUUGGACCAUGUAAAGGUGUACAAAUCUGACAGACAUGAUUUUGCAGUCUCUCACUUUCAGUAUUAAACUCAAAAGUUAAUCCGUGUUCAUUGGACAUCUACUUACAAGUAUCCACAACGCUGCUGAUCUUUACAAGGAAAACUCUCUGCCAAAUGACUUGAAUAUCAGAAAAUCUUAGCCUCAAUCA
rnacentral:misc_RNA from 1 species